UUUAGACCCCAUCAUUUUAUAUGUAUAGUUGGGAUUAUGUUUUCCAAUGUGCAUCUCUUUGCAUUUAUCAACACUGAAUUUCAUCUGCCAUUUUGUUGCCUAGUCACCCAGUUUUGAGAGAUCCUUUCGUAGCUUUUCGCAGUCUGCCUGGCACUUAGCUAUCUUCAGUAACUUUGUAUCAUCUGCAAACUUUGCCACCUCCUUGUUUACCCCUUUUUAUAGAGAGGAGGCACCCCUCCACUUGGUGAAUCGUGGUAGAGCUCAUUUCUUGACAUGCCUAAGUCACUCCUGGGCCUGAAGAAGGAGUGAGAGGGGGAAUAAUCU